ACGCCGCCGUCGGGCGGUCGUAGGACAUGGCCGCCAGGAGGUAGCUCUCGGUGAUGCCCAGAGCCACGAAGAAGUACAUCUCGGCAAAGCACGCCUGGAAGGAUAUGGCCUGGCCCGGGUGGAGCAGGCCGGCCAGCAGCCUGGGGACCGUGACGGUGGUAAAGCAGACGUCCACGAGGCUCAGACAUGCCACAAAAUGUUGAAUGAAGAUAGGCAGCGUUGGCAAGGAGAGUUUCUGAAACUUCCACUGGAGGGCUCUGCGUGUUCCGGCAGGAAUGGUUUGUAUUCUGACCUUUUCAGCUAGCAGAGGAUGAGGAGGACAAGGUGGUGGUGUCAUUGGGCAUGUCAACCAAGAGCAAGAAACUCAUGGAGCCAGAAGCUGGGACCAAUAGGACCGCUGUUGCUGAGUUCAUUCUACUGGGCCUAGUGCAAACAGAAGAGAUGCAGCCAGUUGUCUUUGUGCUCCUCCUCUUUGCCUAUCUGGUCACAACUGGGGGCAACCUCAGCAUCCUGGCAGCCGUCUUGGUGGAGCCCAAACUCCACGCCCCCAUGUACUUCUUCCUGGGGAACCUGUCAGUGCUGGAUGUCGGAUGUAUCACUGUCACUGUUCCUGCAAUGUUGGGUCGUCUCUUGUCCCACAAGUCCACAAUUUCCUAUGACGCCUGCCUCUCCCAGCUCUUCUUCUUCCACCUUCUGGCUGGGAUGGACUGCUUCCUGCUGACCGCCAUGGCCUAUGACCGACUCCUGGCCAUCUGCCAGCCCCUCACCUACAGCACCCGCAUGAGUCAGACAGUCCAGAGGAUGUUGGUGGCUGCGUCCUUGGCUUGUGCCUUCACCAACGCACUGACCCACA
rnacentral:lncRNA from 1 species